AACCCAUUGUUACAUUAUUAGACGGAAAGACCCCAAGAGCUUUUUUGUGUUAGAUUUGUUUGGGGUAAAUGUAGAUUAUUCAUUUAUUUUUAGAUCCUUCAUGGAUAAAGGAUAAAGUUACCUUGGGGAUAACUGAGUAAAGGGCAGGGAGAGGUCCUAUUGAUCUGUUUGUUACUACCUCGAUGUUGGCUUGUUGAACCUUUUCGGUGUAGAGGCUGGAAAAGGAAGUCUGUUCGACUUUUAAAUCUUCAUGAGUUGAGUUAAGACCGGUGUAAGCCAGGUUGGUUCUUAUCUAUAAUUGGUUCUAGUUAGUACGAAAGGAUUAUUAGGAUACAGUGUUUCUGUACACAUAGGAAUGGAAAGUAUACA
rnacentral:rRNA from 1 species